GGGGUCUUCCUGGCACAUUGUUUUGCCCUCUACCCCCACCCCUAGUGUCCUAGAUGUCUCAUGGCCUUCUAAGUUUUUUGAGCUGAAAAAUUACAUCAUCUCAUCUUUUUUGUGGGUUAUGCUGCUCCAGAAUUCAUUCUGAGGGACAGUUAAGUGGCAUAACUGAUGGAGCACUGAACCUGGAGUCAGGAAAACUUGGACUUCAAUUCCACCCUCAGGCUCUUACUACCAGCUAUAUAACCAGGGAGACCAGCUGUACUGCAGCAACCCUGAGAGAUGAAGCAGGAGAAUACAGAGGAGGCGACGGGACAUCAGAUUUUAAAAUGAUCCAUCGCCGUCUUGCAUUUUGAUGGAGCCAACAUGAGAAGAUUACUGAGUUCUUUAGUGAAUUUCAUUGCUCAGAAUAAAGAUCAGGCUGGAAUGGAAGAUUUCUCCA
rnacentral:lncRNA from 1 species